CCGGAUAUUAGGCAGGAGGUAGUUUAAUUAGAAUAUCAGCUUUGGGUGUUGAUGGUGGGGCUGGGUGUCCUUCUCCUGA
rnacentral:tRNA from 1 species